GAUGAACGCUAGCGGCAGGCUUAAUACAUGCAAGUCGAGGGGCAUCAAGGUACACGAAAGUGUAUUGUUGGCGACCGGCGGACGGGUGAGUAAUAGGUAGGUAACCUACCUCAUACUGAGGCAUAGCUGGGAGAAAUUCCAGGUAAUUUCUCAUGAGGUUAUAUGACACAUGUGAUAUAAUCAAAGGUAUCGCAAGGUACUGGUAUGAGAUGGGCUUACUGACCAUUAGCUAGUUGGUGAGAUAAGAGCUCACCAAGGCGAAGAUGGUUAGGGGUUUUGAGAGAGAGAUCCCCCACAUUGGAACUGAGAUACGGUCCAGACUCCUACGGGAGGCAGCAGUAGGGAAUAUUGGGCAAUGGGCGAAAGCCUGACCCAGCCAUGCCGCGUGAAGGAAGACGGCCUUAUGGGUUGUAAACUUCUUUACUACGCGAAUAGAGGUUAGUACGAGAUACUAAUAGGAAGGUAGUGUAGUAAAAAGCACCGGCUAACUCCGUGCCA
rnacentral:rRNA from 1 species